rnacentral:rRNA from 1 species
CAGGCUUAACACAUGCAAGUCGAGGGGCAGCAUGGUCUUAGCUUGCUAAGGCUGAUGGCGACCGGCGCACGGGUGAGUAACACGUAUCCAACCUGCCGUCUACUCUUGGCCAGCCUUCUGAAAGGAAGAUUAAUCCAGGAUGGCAUCAUGAGUUCACAUGUCCGCAUGAUUAAAGGUAUUUUCCGGUAGACGAUGGGGAUGCGUUCCAUUAGAUAGUAGGCGGGGUAACGGCCCACCUAGUCAACGAUGGAUAGGGGUUCUGAGAGGAAGGUCCCCCACAUUGGAACUGAGACACGGUCCAAACUCCUACGGGAGGCAGCAGUGAGGAAUAUUGGUCAAUGGGCGAUGGCCUGAACCAGCCAAGUAGCGUGAAGGAUGACUGCCCUAUGGGUUGUAAACUUCUUUUAUAAAGGAAUAAAGUCGGGUAUGCAUACCCGUUUGCAUGUACUUUAUGAAUAAGGAUCGGCUAACUCCGUGCCAGCAGCCGCGGUAAUACGGAGGAUCCGAGCGUUAUCCGGAUUUAUUGGGUUUAAAGGGAGCGUAGAUGGAUGUUUAAGUCAGUUGUGAAAGUUUGCGGCUCAACCGUAAAAUUGCAGUUGAUACUGGAUGUCUUGAGUGCAGUUGAGGCAGGCGGAAUUCGUGGUGUAGCGGUGAAAUGCUUAGAUAUCACGAAGAACUCCGAUUGCGAAGGCAGCCUGCUAAGCUGCAACUGACAUUGAGGCUCGAAAGUGUGGGUAUCAAACAGG